rnacentral:rRNA from 1 species
GGGGGCCCGCAAGCGGUGGAGCAUGUGGUUUAAUUCGAUGCAACGCGAAGAACCUUACCUACUCUUGACAUCCAGAGAAUUCGCUAGAGAUAGCUUAGUGCCUUCGGGAGCUCUGAGACAGGUGCUGCAUGGCUGUCGUCAGCUCGUGUUGUGAAAUGUUGGGUUAAGUCCCGCAACGAGCGCAACCCUUAUCCUUGUUUGCCAGCACGUAAUGGUGGGAACUCCAGGGAGACUGCCGGUGAUAAACCGGAGGAAGGUGGGGACGACGUCAAGUCAUCAUGGCCCUUACGAGUAGGGCUACACACGUGCUACAAUGGCGUAUACAGAGGGCUGCAAGCUAGCGAUAGUGAGCGAAUCCCACAAAGUACGUCGUAGUCCGGAUUGGAGUCUGCAACUCGACUCCAUGAAGUCGGAAUCGCUAGUAAUCGUGAAUCAGAAUGUCACGGUGAAUACGUUCCCGGGCCUUGUACACACC